AGAAAAUAUAAUAUUGUUUGAAAUAUUUCCCCAUCUUAAUACUUAACAUUUUGUGUUUGUGUGUGUGUAAGGGUGUGUGUGAGGGUGUUUGUGUGUACGUUUGAGAGGGAGAGAUAAUGUUAAGGUGUACUGGUGUAUGUAUAUUAUAUCAAGCUAUUUGGAUGUGUUUCAUGAUGUUAAUAUUGUCUUUAGGUGACAAAAUUAUAUAUACCUGUAAAUACAACAUUUUACCAAAAGUGAGUGCCGCUCUAGUGACGAAACACCAACUUGGGUCCGGCUGAUAUAUAUCGAAGUGAGAUAAACAACCUAAUUGGGUACAGAUGCCGAUUUUCUGUGAAUAUCUUUAUGAAGUGAAAUAAAUAUCUAAAAGAUAUCGUCAUUAAUCAAAAGAAGAGAUGCAGCGACACAUUCUGGGCAAUUAUGACUUCUUAACUGUAUCAAUAACCAUAACUUGGAAGGAUUUUCUACAAAGUUAGGUCAAUUUUUGGCUGCAUUUUGUAUAUAUACAAUCGCGCAUGCUCAGUUCAGUAUUUCCGUAAAUGAUGGCGACAUGUCCUAAAUACUUUACUUUUUGUAAACAUUGGAGUUAAUACCAUUUUCUAUUAAACUGUGUUUCGAAUAGAGUUUUUGAGAAUCAAACAAUGAAAUUUUGCAUCUGUAAUCAACAACAAAUCGUGAAUUAAGCCGAUUAAUAUUGGUAUCGAUUCAGAAAUACGAGGAUGAACUUGUGUUUUAGUGAAAAUGUGUAGUGACCCAAUUCUACAUUUACGGCAUUUGAGUACAACAUGGAGGUCAUUGAUCUGUUUAUAGGUGACAAAAUUAUAUAUACCUGUAAAUACAACAUUUUACCAAAAGUGAGUGCCGCUCUAGUGACGAAACACCAACUUGGGUCCGGCUGAUAUAUAUCGAAGUGAGAUAAACAACCUAAUUGGGUACAGAUGCCGAUUUUCUGUGAAUAUCUUUAUGAAGUGAAAUAAAUAUCUAAAAGAUAUCGUCAUUAAUCAAAAGAAGAGAUGCAGCGACACAUUCUGGGCAAUUAUGACUUCUUAACUGUAUCAAUAACCAUAACUUGGAAGGAUUUUCUACAAAGUUAGGUCAAUUUUUGGCUGCAUUUUGUAUAUAUACAAUCGCGCAUGCUCAGUUCAGUAUUUCCGUAAAUGAUGGCGACAUGUCCUAAAUACUUUACUUUUUGUAAACAUUGGAGUUAAUACCAUUUUCUAUUAAACUGUGUUUCGAAUAGAGUUUUUGAGAAUCAAACAAUGAAAUUUUGCAUCUGUAAUAUAACAAAUCGUGAAUUAAGCCGAUUAAUAUUGGUAUCGAUUCAGAAAUACGAGGAUGAACUUGUGUUUUAGUGAAAAUGUGUAGUGACCCAAUUCUACAUUUACGGCAUUUGAGUACAACAUGGAGGUCAUUGAUCUGUUUAUAGAAAUACGAGGAUGAACUUGUGUUUUUGUGAAAAUGUGUAGUGACCCAAUUCUGCAUUUACGGCAUUUGAGUACAACAUCCACAAGGAGGUCAUUGAUCUGUUUAAAG